UACGAAGGGGGCUAGCGUUGUUCGGAAUUACUGGGCGUAAAGCGCACGUAGGCGGAUUGUUAAGUCAGAGGUGAAAUCCCGGAGCUCAACUUCGGAACUGCCUUUGAUACUGGCAAUCUCGAGUCCGGAAGAGGUUAGUGGAAUUCCCAGUGUAGAGGUGAAAUUCGUAGAUAUUGGGAAGAACACCAGUGGCGAAGGCGGCUAACUGGUCCGGUACUGACGCUGAGGUGCGAAAAGCGUGGGGAGCAAACAGGG
rnacentral:rRNA from 1 species